GACGAACGCUGGCGGCGUGCCUAAUACAUGCAAGUCGAACGCAGUGGGGACGGGUGAGUCACAAGUGGGUAACCUCCCAUCAGAGGGGAUAACAGUUGGAAACAGGUGCUAAACCGAUAAUGCAGGCUGGACCCGGUGGGCAUUAGCUAGUUGGUGAGGUAACGGCUCACCAAGGCCACGAGGCAUAGGCGACCUGAGAGCGUGAUCGGCCACACGGGGACUGAGACACGGCCCAGACUCCUACGGGAGGCAGCAGUAGGGAAUCUUCGGCAAUGGACGAAAGUCUGACCGAGCAACGCCGCGUGAGUGAAGAAGGUUUUCGGAUCGUAAAACUCUGUUGUUAGAGAAGCGGUAUCUAACCAGAAAGCCACGGCUAACUACGUGCCAGCAGCCGCGGUAAUAC
rnacentral:rRNA from 1 species